rnacentral:rRNA from 1 species
GAACAUUAUGCCUGGAAUGGUUUAUGUUUCAAAUAAUUUAUCGCCGUAGGAUGGGACUGCGGCCUAUCAGUUUGUUGGUGAGGUAAUGGCCCACCAAGACUAUUACAGGUACGGGCUCUGAGAGGAGUGGCCCGGAGAUGGGUACUGAGACACGGACCCAGGCCCUAUGGGGCGCAGCAGGCGAGAAAACUUUGCAAUGUGCGAAAGCACGACAAGGUUAAUCCGAGUGGUUUGUGCUAAACGAACCUUUUGUCAGUCCUAGAAACACUAACGAAUAAGGGGUGGGCAAGUUCUGGUGUCAGCCGCCGCGGUAAAACCAGCACCUCAAGUGGUCAGGAUGAUUAUUGGGCCUAAAGCAUCCGUAGCCGGCUCUGUAAGUUUUCGGUUAAAUCUGUACGCUUAACGUACAGGCUGCCGGGAAUACUGCAGAGCUAGGGAGUGGGAGAGGUAGACGGUACUCGAUAGGAAGGGGUAAAAUCCUUUGAUCUAUUGAUGACCACCUGUGGCGAAGGCGGUCUACCAGAACACGUCCGACGGUGAGGGAUGAAAGCUGGGGGAGCAAACCGGAUUAGAUACCCGGGUAGUCCCAGCUGUAAACGAUGCAGACUCGGUGAUGAAUAGGCUUCGUGCCUAUUCAGUG